rnacentral:rRNA from 1 species
GAUGAACGCUGGCGGCGUGCUUAACACAUGCAAGUCGAACGGGAUCCAAGGGGUGCUUGCACUUUUUGGUGAGAGUGGCGAACGGGUGAGUAACACGUGAGUAACCUGUCCUUUUCUUUGGGAUAAGCAUUCGAAAGGGUGUUUAAUACCUUAUGUUCUGUCUGCCUCGCAUGGGGUGGGUGGGAAAGGCUUUGGCCGGAUUUGGGUGGGCUCGCGGUCUAUCAGCUUGUUGGUGGGGUGAUGGCGUACCAAGGCUUUGACGGGUAGCCGGCCUGAGAGGGUGGUGGGCCACAUAGGGACUGAGAUACGGCCCAGACUCCUGCGGGAGGCAGCAGUGGGGGAAAUUGCACAAUGGGCGAAAGCCUGAUGCAGCGACGCCGCGUGGGGGAUGAAGGCCUUCGGGUUGUAAACUUCUUUUGCUCUGAACAAGGCAUGCCAGUGGGUGUGUUGAGUGUAGGGGUUGAUUAGCGCCGGCUAACUACGUG